GAUGAAGAACGUAGCGAAAUGCGAUAAGUAAUGUGAAUUGCAGAAUUCAGUGAAUCAUCGAAUCUUUGAACGCACAUUGCGCCCCUUGGUAUUCCGAGGGGCAUGCCUGUUCGAGCGUCAUUAUAACCCCUCAAGCUCAGCUUGGUGUUGGGGCCUGCUGCACUGGCAGCCCUUAAAAUCAGUGGCGGCGCCAUCUGGCUCUAAGCGUAGUAAUUCUUCUCGCUAUGGAGUCCUGGUGGAUGCUUGCCAUCAACCCCCAAUUUUUCUAUGGUUGACCUCGGAUCAGGUAGGGAUACCCGCUGAACUUAAGCAUAUCAAUACGGAGGA
rnacentral:misc_RNA from 1 species